rnacentral:rRNA from 1 species
GAUGAACGCUAGCGGCAGGCUUAAUACAUGCAAGUCGAGGGGCAGCAUGAUUGUAGCAAUACAAUUGAUGGCGACCGGCAAACGGGUGCGGAACGCGUACACAACCUUCCAACAAGUGGGGGAUAGCCCAGAGAAAUUUGGAUUAAUACCCCGUAACAUAGCGAUGUGGCAUCACAUUGCUAUUAUAGAUUUUUCGCUUGUUGAUGGGUGUGCGGCUGAUUAGAUAGUUGGCGGGGUAACGGCCCACCAAGUCUACGAUCAGUAGCUGAUGUGAGAGCAUGAUCAGCCACACGGGCACCGAGACACGGGCCCGACUCCUACGGGAGGCAGCAGUAAGGAAUAUUGGACAAUGGACGCAAGUCUGAUCCAGCCAUGCCGCGUGAAGGAUUAAGGUCCUCUGGAUUGUAAACUUCUUUUAUAAGGGACGAAAAAAGGCUUUUCUAAGUCGUCUGACGGUACCUUAUGAAUAAGCACCGGCUAACUCCGUGCCAGCCGCCGCCGUAACAC